UACGGAGGAUGCAAGCGUUAUCCGGAAUGAUUGGGCGUAAAGCGUCCGCAGGUGGCUGUGUAAGUCUGCUGUCAAAGGGCAAAGCUCAACUUUGUAAAGGCAGUGGAAACUACACGGCUAGAGUGCGUUCGGGGCAGAGGGAAUUCCUGGUGUAGCGGUGAAAUGCGUAGAGAUCAGGAAGAACACCGGUGGCGAAGGCGCUCUGCCAGGCCGCAACUGACACUGAGGGACGAAAGCUAGGGGAGCGAAUGGG
rnacentral:rRNA from 1 species